rnacentral:lncRNA from 1 species
AAAGGGCUAAUUUAUACAACAAUAUUUUCUUAGUGUUUGCAUCACUAUGAGAAAACUGUCUUUUUUCUUUCAAAGGUAGCAAGCUCACCAAGGACUAUAAAUUCUAUAAAUCUCUCCCAUCUUAUAAAAUGGUUAUGAGAAGGAAUUAAAACCUUUUAAUCUCCCCAACUUGGUAAAACUUUAUAUAUAAAGGUAUUGCUGUGCUUGCAGAACUCGAUGGGCUUGCGAAUUGGAUCUCUUCCUCCAUUUCCUUUAGAUCACUUUCCAAAUUAGCCAGGGGGUGGGUGGUUAACUAUGAUUAACCCUUCACCAAUGUUCCUCACCAAUGAGGAACAGCCAAGCUUCCCUUUGUACUAGGGAUAAAACCACAGAGGCCAUUUGGUCAUAUGUGUUACUUGCUAGCCCAGGUUGGGUCUUGGAGCACCCUUUAGGAAAAAUAAAUCAUCUCUUGGCCUUUUUUUUUUUUUUGCUUUGUUCACACAAGACUUCCAUAUAUGCUGUGCAAGUAUUCUAACACUGAACGAUGUGUCUGAUUUUUAGUUUGUUGUAAAUUGCCUUAAUUGGGCAUUUUGAUUUGCAUUAAAUUAUACAUUAAUAUUCCUUUUUGAAAAAGAUUUAAUUUUGUGUGUAUGGGUAUUUUGUGUGUACCCAUUAUUCUGUGGACCAGGAAUUACAAAUGGUUAUUAGCCGCUGUGGGUUCUAGGAACUGAACCUGGGUCCUCUGCAAAAGCAAUACCUGCUCUUAUCUAGAUGAGCCAUCUCUUCAGCCCCACAUUUAUAUUGCAUUUUGAACAUUAAAACUUGAAGUCCUUACUGUUUUACUGUACUGGAAAGCAUGCUAUAAUAUGCUAUGGUAAUCCUGCCUUUCAAACUUUUCAGUAGGUUAACAAUAUGGUAUAUCAUAUUAAUAUUAGCCUCACAGUACAGCAUUAAAGACUAGAUAUGCACAUUUUAUUUGCUGGGUUUUCCUUUAUUGUUAUUGUUUGUUUGUUUUGUUUUGUUUUGUUUUUUGAGAUUAGGGUUUCAUUUGUAGGCUUGCUUUGAAUUGAUGACUGUUUUCCUGCCUCAGCCUCCAGAGAGCUGAGAUUAUAGAUUGGUGCCUCCAUAUCUACCUUGUCUUAGCUUCUCAUGUAUUUUCUACUGAUUGGACACAUUGUUACAAAUCAUAUAAACUUAAAAAAGAUCACCAUUGGUGCUAUCUAAAAGGUUUCUAAAGCUCUUUGUUUGCUUCAGUGUGAGCCCUUUCCCCUUUCACCUUGUGGAAGUAUGCUUAUUUUUUUCUUUCCCCUUCACAUAUUUACCAUGGCAACCUGGAUAAGCUCCUGGACUUACAACUCACAAUAGGACCUGUUCCUUUCACCUGUCACUGUGCCUCUAAAGAUUUUUUUUUUUAACUCUCAGGCUGUCUCUACCCAACCUCUAGCAAUUUUUCAUUACUAUUUUGGUUUGACUACCCUCAGCGCAUGGUUCUCCAUGACCUCCUUGCCAUUCCCGGCAGAUCUUCACAUUCCCUAGACUCCUGCUGUCUCCACUCUGCUCGUCCUGACUUCUCUGAGCUAAAUAGUAUUGCUGCAGAGAACAGGGGUGCUCGGUGAGGGGUAUGUUUGGACAGGAGGAGAUAAGGAAGGCCUGAGACAUCAGGAACAGAUUCUGAAGUCAGACUUGGGGAGGAUUCUGUGGUCAUCAGAACAGGACUGCUGUGAGCAGCACGCAGCUGUCAAAUCAUUCGGAGGUGAUAUCUCUUGGCCUUCCUUAAUUUUGGGUAUCUUUAACUGAGUGGGAGAAAAGUUGUUAGAUCUUUCACAUUGCCCCUACAAACAUCCAAAAGUUGAUUUUUUUUUUUUAAAUAUUUUCUUCUAGUAGUGUGUCAAACUGGGGGAAAGUAUUGUUCAGAGUGAUUGGAGAAUAUAAUCUUUCCUUUAGAAGUUUGACUCACAGCCAACAGCAAGUGGAUGUUAUAGAUAAAAGGGAGUGUGAUUAGUAACAAGGCAAAAAAUAUACUCUUUCCUAGGUGAUAACUUCCAAGCCCACCUAUGUUAGUUAUGUUUUCUUAUGAAUGCAGUGGGCUAUAAGAUUAUAUGAGCAACCUAUAGGAAUUAUGGAGCCCACUUGUGGAAAUAUCAUCCCAAUCAAACAAAGGGCCUUCCUCAAGUUCUCCGAAGAGAAUGGGCAAGAAUUUUUCAAAGAUAAAUCUAAUUCAUGAAACAAACUAACAAACAAACAAUCUUAUCUUUAGAGCUGGAAGGGCCCUUAAAGCUUACCUGUCCGUUAAUUCAGUGAUGUGGACAAGCCCAGAGAUAUUAGGGAUGUUGACAAGCUUGCAGUUAGAUAUGCCACUAGGGUUGGGCUGGAAUCCAGGGUUCCAAAGAUUUCU